rnacentral:rRNA from 1 species
GGAGUUAGCCGGUGCUUCUUCUGUGAGUGAUGUCCUUCCUGCCGGCUAUUAACCCGCAGGCCUUCUUCCUCACUGAAAGUGCUUUACAACCCGAAGGCCUUCUUCACACACGCGGCAUGUCUGGAUCAGGGUUGCCCCCAUUGUCCAAUAUUCCCCACUGCUGCCUCCCGUAGGAGUCUGGGCCGUGUCUCAGUCCCAGUGUGGCUGAUCAUCCUCUCAGACCAGCUACGGAUCGUCGCCUUGGUGAGCCGUUACCUCACCAACCAGCUAAUCCGACAUAGGCUCAUCCGAUAGCGCGAGGCCCGAAGGUCCCCCGCUUUCCCCCGUAGGGCGUAUGCGGUAUUAGCCUGGGUUUCCCCAGGUUAUCCCCCACUACCGGGCAGAUUCCUAUGCAUUACUCACCCGUCCGCCGCUCGCCACCAGGGAGCAAGCUCCCCGUGCUGCCGCUCGACUUGCAUGUGUUAGGCCUGCCGCCAGCGUUCAAUCUGAGCCAGGAUCAAAACUCUGA